AUAAAAGAAGCAUCAGGAACUCGAUCAACUAUCGGAGUCAAAAGAAUGGGUAAGCUUGAUAAAAAGGCUUUUUGUGCUGCAUGCAAAGGGAAGUUUGCAAAAGCUGAUUUUGGAGAGCAGUUGGCAAUUCACUGUUCAAAAUGGGAAAAUGAGAUCGGCCAACCAGGCUGGCAUCCUUUCGAAGUUAUUCGGUUUUUUUUUCUUUUUUCGGAAAUAGUCCUGGAAGGUGACGAGAAGCUGAAAUCCCUGAAGGAAGAGCUGGGCGAGAAGGCGCACGACGUCGUGGUGAAGGCCCUUGUUGAGAUGAACGAGUACAACCCGAGCGGCCGGUACCCCGUGCGUGAGCUGUGGAACUUCAAGGAGAACCGGAGAGCGCCGCUGGAAGAGGCGGUGGCCUACCUGCUCAACCACUGGAAGAAGAACAAGAACAAGAAGGCCUUCUACUAA
rnacentral:rRNA from 1 species